rnacentral:rRNA from 1 species
CACGUAGGCGGAUGGGUAAGUCAGAUGUGAAAUCCCGGGGCUCAACUUCGGAACUGCAUUUGAUACUGCCCGUCUUGAGUGUGGUAGAGGGGGAUGGAAUUCCCGGUGUAGAGGUGAAAUUCGUAGAUAUCGGGAGGAACACCAGAGGCGAAGGCGAUCCCUGGGCCAUUACUGACGCUGAGGUGCGAAAGCGUGGGGAGCAAACA